UACAGAGGUCUCAAGCGUUGUUCGGAUUCAUUGGGCGUAAAGGGUGCGUAGGUGGCAUGGUAAGUCGGAUGUGAAAUCCCGGGGCUCAACCCCGGAACUGCAUUCGAUACUGCUGAGCUAGAGUACUGGAGAGGAGAUUGGAAUUUACGGUGUAGCAGUGAAAUGCGUAGAUAUCGUAAGGAAGACCAGUGGCGAAGGCGGAUCUCUGGACAGUUACUGACGCUGAGGCACGAAAGCGUGGGGAGCAAACAGG
rnacentral:rRNA from 1 species